GCGCAUGUGGUGAAGCGGUAUCACGGUUGCCUUCCAAGCAACCAUCCCGGGUUCAACUCCCGGCUUGCGCA
rnacentral:tRNA from 1 species